CUUCCCUGAGUACUUGGAGCCAGGAAAGAAGCAUGAAGUGGCUUGUGCUCUUUGAGCUGGUGGCCUUCUCAGAUUGCAGAGUCAUAAGACCUCUAAUGAAAGUGAAGACCAUGAGAAAUACCCUCAGUUUAAAAAACGUGCUGAACAAUUUCCUGAAGGAACAUGCUUACAGACUGUCUCAGAUUUCUUCUCGUGGCUCAAAUAUAACUAUUCCCCUGCUGAGGAACAUCAUGGAAGUGAUAUAUUUGGGUAACAUCACGAUUGAAACACCCCCUCAGGAAUUCCAGGUUAUCUUUGACACAGAUUCAUCUGACUUGUGGGUACCCUCCCUCUUUUGCACCAGCACAGCCUAUU